rnacentral:rRNA from 1 species
AACGAACGCUGGCGGCAGGCUUAACACAUGCAAGUCGAGCGCCCCGCAAGGGGAGCGGCAGACGGGUGAGUAACGCGUGGGAAUCUACCCAUCUCUACGGAAUAACGCAUGGAAACGUGUGCUAAUACCGUAUAAGUCCUUUGGGAGAAAGAUUUAUCGGAGAUGGAUGAGCCCGCGUUGGAUUAGCUAGUUGGUGGGGUAAAGGCCUACCAAGGCGACGAUCCAUAGCUGGUCUGAGAGGAUGAUCAGCCACACUGGGACUGAGACACGGCCCAGACUCCUACGGGAGGCAGCAGUGGGGAAUAUUGGACAAUGGGCGCAAGCCUGAUCCAGCCAUGCCGCGUGAGUGAUGAAGGCCCUAGGGUUGUAAAGCUCUUUCACCGGUGAAGAUAAUGACGGUAACCGGAGAAGAAGCCCCGGCUAACUUCGUGCCAGCCGCCGCCGUAAUAC